rnacentral:tRNA from 1 species
GCCUUGCUAGCUCAAUCGGUAGAGCGUGUGACUCUUAAUCACAAGGUUGGGGGUUCGAGCCCCCCGUAGGGCU